AGCUGCGUCGAGAUCUUCGCAUGGGCGAAGCCUGACGAUGCGACGCCGUGUGAGCGAUGAAGGCCUUAGGGUCGUAAAGCUCUUUCGCUUGGGAACAAGAGAAGCUGGCUAAUAUCYURCAGAUUUGAGGGUACCAGGGAAAAGAGCACCGGCUAACUCCCA
rnacentral:rRNA from 1 species